UGUUCAUCUCUAUCGUUUUACUGUCAAAAAAAAAAAAAAAAUGUUAAUCUCGUCCUCUGUUGGCUAAGCUUCUUCUGCACAAGUUAUGGUCUCAACUUUCCAGUUCCACACCUCUACUCGCUAUAUUUAGUAAUUCCUGUGCUUAAUUGCAAACUUUUAUUGCAAAGGAAAAGCUUGGAGGAUUGGCUCAAAAAAAAAAAAAAAAGGGAAAUUUUGGAGGAAAGUUCCUGAAAUAGUAGGCAAAGGUUGCAGAAUUCUAAGAGUGUUUAAGAUCAUUUUAAGCACAAAUUUCGAUAAGAGGAGAAGAGGACAAAAAUGUUCUUGUAAUGGGGACGUUAGAGGUCAAAUGUAUUGCGAAUCCCAGAACUUUGCAGCCAACAAUAAUCAAUCAAGUUGCUGGAGUUAGUCACGUACUGAGAUCCAUGCAUGCAAAGAAGUCAACUACAAGAUCAAGUUCAAUUGGACAUUGAAGCGAAGGUUCAACUGCAGGCGUCCCAUGGUUCGUCAAAGAAUUCAAAGUCUGCAAAUUGACGCUGCAACCAAUUAUUUGAGGUGGUCAGAAAUAUGAAGAAUGUACAACUUGACACGAUUUGUUUGACUAUGCAUGCUUAGAUUGAGUACAUUUAUAGGACUAUUAAUUACACAACAUAUUUGUAAAAUUCCAGAAUUGUUUUUUUGGAACUUACCUCCGGGAGAAUUCCAGUAUUGCGAGAAUUGAAAAUCAGCAAAUAAUCAUCGUCAACCAUGUCUUCCGAAGCCCCUAAAUGUUCUCCGGCAUGAACGCUUCCUUCUUCAGCCUCAGGUAGCUCCCUUAGCUCAAAAGUGUUCAUGUUAUGGCUUUGGGUUCCAGAUUCUUCUGCAGAUUCAAAUUUACUCCAAGAACCUAAUUGGCUUAAGUUACAAUUGCUUGCCACUUCACAUAACUUCGAUUCAUCUACCCGACUCGUCGUCCUUACUCUUGCCCUCUCCCGAGCCCUCUCCCGUGCCCUUUCCCUUGCUUUCUUCCUUGACUCCCUUGCAAGAGGGUGAAAUGCACUCUUCUUCUCUUUCGUCGAAGUUUUCUCUUCCAAAACACUGUCCUGCUGAUCUCUGUCAUGAAUUGCCACAGGAUCAAUGCCAGACACAGUUUGACACUUAGAAGUAGAAGAAGCACUCUUGACACCAACGCCGAAACUAUGCUUCUUCUCUAUUUCCAGCUUCUUGAUUUCAUCUUUUGAAUUUAUGAGUAACCACUCAAGGGUUUUGCUGGCCGUGUCACAGCCUAGCAAAUCUUGCAGUUUGAAAAAAUCCGGGGCAACUUGAACGGACAAUCUCAUUCUCCUUUCCCUUGGUCCUCGAGCAGUAUUAAUCUUGACACGCUGAUUUCUCUUUCUUGAUCUUUUUCUGGGGAUGUGCUUGGCCAUGUGUACAUUGAUGUCGCUGCUGUUGAAAUUCAUCAUGUUACUGUUAACUACAGCUUCAGUUACGGUAUUCUCAUCUCUCAUAAUAAAGAAAUUCUGGUGAAAUAACAGGUCAUAUAUGUGUUGGAAGAAAACGUCGUUAUCUUCAUAAGAAGGAUCAAGGAGAAGGGUUUGUGUUUCUACAACUGGAGUCGAUGUCAUUGAAAAGAGGCCUCUGCAAAAAUGUUUGGUCACAAAACACCAGGAGAAGGAUAAAGUAUUGAUGGACAUGCCUAGCUGCCAAUCUUAGAUGUUUUAGCAGCCAAGAAGUGCUUUCAUAGCAGACAAUGCUGCAAGGGACAAGCUGCACAGGAUCAUUAAAUUAAAGAAACAAGGCAUCAAUGCGGAUACUUUGAAAAUCAAAAUUGAAAAGAAGAUGGUUAAUCCUUCCGAAGUGAGGCACAUGCAUAUAAUAGAUGCUAGAAUUAUAGUGUUAAAGAAGAACAUGUCUGGAUUUUUAUUCAAUAAAAUUGUGGCUUUACGAAAUAGAGGGGAGGCAUUGGAUUUUUGGAGAAAAGCAUGGGAUUGGAAUAAAUGAAAAAAUUGAUCUUUUGGGGGAAAAAAAAAGAUUGAUAGAGAAAAUUGUGGAAUUGAAGCAAUCAAAUCAAAUUUCAAAAUUUUGGUUGUGUAUGUAAUUCCCAUUAUAAAAAUGGGUUAUAUUGAAAUGUAUUAUCAUGUAUUAUAAAACUGGGUAUUCAAAGGAUUACUUCUAUGUCUUAUAUACGAAAAGGUUCUCCU